UAAUAACACAAAUAAAUAUAACACACUAAGGAUCGUCUGAAUUAACCUAUUACAAAAGAAAAACGUCCCACUUCGCUUGAACUUAUGCAAAGCACCUUAAAACCGUUAAUGAGUUGAUGAUUGAUUUUAUCUUCCGGACCACCAAGGUCACCAAGGUAGCUGUGUACCACACAGUCGUAAACGGAUAAAUGGACUUCCCGGACGGUUCUCCCAGCGGUUAUAGUCACACGAAACACGAUGUCUUUACCUAAAAAUUUUUGAACAUCGUGUACCACAGGACCCUUAGGACCGAUACAUUUAAAGUGGAGGGGAUAAGUUUCUAUACACCUGGACGAUGGAGUAAUAGUCCCCUUCACAACCAAUACGAUCACACGUAUGAGUGAACCCUUCUUUACCUUCAUCCUCUCCACUGGAAGUUAAGGAGUGGAUGUUGAUAAAAUAUUGAUGAUUAAUCUCCGUGGCAUGCUAGGAAAUCCUAUUUAGGUGUGCAUGUUUACUUAAACGUAGUGGAUCUUGGAAAAAAGUGAUAGAUUAUAAGGUAUGAUUAAUAGGUAAGACUCAAUUUAGUAUGUAAUUAAUCUUCCUCGACUUGGUAAACAACCCCACUUGAUAUACGUCGUAACUCGUAAGGUUAAUAAGAAGACGUAACAAGAGAUAAAACUGUUGAUGACAUCACGUCCGACUUCACUACCGUAAAUACCAACUACAUUAAAGUAGAGUUAUUCUUAAUAAAAGACGCAUUAUAUAACUAGGGUCGGAUGAACGACAUUUACACACUAUAACUACCUGAAACAAGUACCGAAACUAAUAUGUUAGAUCUUAUAAAUUGGAAAACUCGGUUUAAGUUAUCUCGUAUAGUAGGUUAUGAUUCCUGAAGUUAAUAGUACCACAUAAGUUCAGUUUAGAUUUAUCAUCAGACGCAGGCGGAUGGAACCGUUCCUAUGGCCCACUUAGAUGAAAGCACAACAUCGAAGAAAAGAAGAAUAAUGAGAAUAAAAAACCCUAAAGUAAACAAGAAUUAGGAUAAAGGUAAGACCGACUUUUACGCCCUUGGAAAACCUGUGUACAUGUAAAAUGCACAAGAGGGAAGGACGGGUUUUGUUACAAUCUACUCGAUUCUAUUAUGAAGAUCCAUAAGUCUUUCUCGGUGUAGAUAUUAAUCGAAAGUUCAGCUAAAUAGGUCACACUUGAUGAUCUUUAGAUAUGUAGAUGACUUUCUCAGUGUCAAUGUAUAUAAAUCGAAAAUCGAGUGACAUAGGUGAUAGAAGUUUCAACAUACAAAUAAAAAAACCUUUGUUCACAACCUUAUAACCGACGAUCAUACAAUUGAAUUCAUAUAGGGGUCCUUGUGAUAUACGAGUUGUUAGUAUGUUUCAUUUACUACGUAAAGGAAGGUUUACCUAUCUGCUUUUCAACUAACUCACAAAGAUACAGUGUAGGUACCAAUGACGACCUUCAGCUAACCGUCAGAAGUACAUGGCUAUAGGAUAAAAAUAUCUAAUACUUCGUUUGUGUUCCUACCUGAGUGAUACUUGGUACUUCUGUCCCUAGGUGUAGUUGACCUACUAAAUCGAGAGUAAAACAUAUUGACUACAUAGUAUCAACGUAGAAAAUUGACAGGAAAACACUUGGACUACAUACCACAGAACCGCCAAUACAGAUCUUAUCUGACUUCACAUACAUGCACUGUACCACAGAACCACUAAUACAGAUCUUAUCUGACUUCACAUACAUACACUGUCAAUUUACCUUAUUUUUUUACAAACCACGUGG
rnacentral:rRNA from 1 species